rfam:Myotis lucifugus cont2.6064, whole genome shotgun sequence.
CUGUCUCUUGCUUCAACAGUGUUUGGACCGAACAG